rnacentral:lncRNA from 1 species
UAAUUUCUGGGAAGAUUCUUUAUACAAAGUAAGCUUUGAUCCACAAACAUCUUGGUCCCUCUCCCUCAAAUCUCGAUAAUUCACGCCAUCACAUCUCUCUUUUCUUUAUUAAAGCAAAUCUCUUUUUAUAUCUUUAUUAAACCAAAAUCUUCUCCCUCUCUCUUAUUUAUCAAAACCGCAUGCAUCUCUUCAAAAAAAAAAAAACGCUGCACAAGAUCCUCUCUCUCCUUCUCACAAUAUCAAGACCGAACGUUGCUCACAUCUCUCUCUAUCUCGCUCGAUCCAGCCAUCUCCUCCCUCGAACUUCCGCCGCCGCGGCUCCUCCUCACACGACUCGCACACACACCAGUCACCGGGAACACCCCUCGCCUCUCUUCUUUCCCGAUCCGUAUUCAGCCGAAUAAUCCACGCCGCUGCAACUGGAUUCCGGCGAGCGCCGCGUCGCCUAAAGCCGGCGAGUUCACUGCCGUCUGCUGCUGUUCAUGGAGUCGCCGACUGCUGCUGUUCGUGGAGUCGCCGACUGCUGCUGUUCGUGGAGUCCGCCGCCGACUGCUGCUGUUCUGGAGUUGGCCGCCGACUGCUGCUGUUCUGGAGUCGCGGGCUGCUGCUGCAGAGUUCCGACAGCCACCACCGUCGUCGUCGGCUGCCGCUGUUUCCAGUUCUUCUGCUGCCAAGCACCGAACGCCGCUGCUGUAGGGAGGCCGGCGAACAGUCGGGUGUUCGCCGCUUCCAGUUCUUCUCCGAGUUCCGAAGCCGGUGAGAGCUCCAUCAUCGCGUC